GGCCACGCUGCUGAUCGUCCUGCUGCUGAUGGUGUGCGGACUGAGCUCACAGAUGUACCCCUGACCAAUGACAGGCCCGCUGGCAUCAUGGAAAGGAAAAAAGAGCAAGAUCCAGGGCUGGGCAUCUUGACUAGGGUUAAAACAAAUACUGCUUCACCGGCAGCGUCUGCUCUUGAUUGCCAUUCUUACCACGGUCUGCCCAGAUUUUAACCUUGGCCUGUAUUCGAAGGUUGGUAUUUUGUGUGGCAUCUUUUUUUAUCAAAAUUCA